rnacentral:rRNA from 1 species
AAUAGAUACCCCGGUAGUCCACGCCGUAAACGUUGGGCACUAGGUGUGGGACCUAUUCAACGGGGUUCCGUGCCGUAGCUAACGCAUUAAGUGCCCCGCCUGGGGAGUACGGCCGCAAGGCUAAAACUCAAAGGAAUUGACGGGGGGCCCGCACAAGCAGCGGAGCAUGUUGCUUAAUUCGAGGCAACGCGAAGAACCUUACCUGGGCUUGACAUGUAGAGAAAAGCCGUAGAGAUACGGUGUCCUUCGGGGUUCUACACAGGUGGUGCAUGGUUGUCGUCAGCUCGUGUCGUGAGAUGUUGGGUUAAGUCCCGCAACGAGCGCAACCCUUGUCCUAUGUUGCCAGCACGUAAAGGUGGGGACUCGUAGGAGACUGCCGGGGUCAACUCGGAGGAAGGUGGGGACGACGUCAAAUCAUCAUGCCCCUUAUGUCCAGGGCUGCAAACAUGCUACAAUGGCCGGUACAAAGGGCUGCGAAACCGCGAGGUGGAGCGAAUCCCAUAAAGCCGGUCUCAGUUCGGAUUGGAGUCUGCAACUCGACUCCA